AUUGAACGCUGGCGGCAUGCCUUACACAUGCAAGUCGAACGGUAACAGGUCUUCGGAUGCUGACGAGUGGCGAACGGGUGAGUAAUACAUCGGAACGUGCCUAGUAGUGGGGGAUAACUACUCGAAAGAGUGGCUAAUACCGCAUGAGAUCUACGGAUGAAAGCAGGGGAUCGCAAGACCUUGUGCUACUAGAGCGGCCGAUGGCAGAUUAGGUAGUGGGUGGGAUAAAAGCUCACCAAGCCGACGAUCUGUAGCUGGUCUGAGGGAAGGAUAGGCAACACUGGAAUUGGGACCCGGCCAAGCCUCUUACGGGAGCAAGAAGGGGGAAAUUUUGGAAAAGGGGCGAAAGCCUGAUCCAGCAAUGCCGCGGGAGGGAUAAGGGCUUUGGGUUUGUAAACUGUUUUUGUACGAAACAAAAAGCCCCGGUUUAAUACCCUGGGGUCAUGACGGUACCGUAAGAAUAAGCACCGGCUAACUACGUGCCAGCCGCCGCGGUAA
rnacentral:rRNA from 1 species